AGGAUAAUAGUCACCCCAUGGAUUUGAGUUUCGCCUGUAAAAUGCACUGUUCAUCAGUUAGCCUUGCUCUAUCCUGUACCUGCCUUCCUGCAUAAAGACAUCAACAUACAUAUACCUCGAGGUAUUUUUCCUUUUUAUCCAAAUGUCUUUUGUCUGUGUAAUAAAAGUACAACCUGGAUUAAAUCUGUUUUUAAUAAUAAUAACAAGAUUAUUAUUUUUCUGAAGUGAACUGUGUCUAUUAUUAGGUAUGUUCUGGCCAGAAAGCUUUAUGGUGAUGUGGGGUCAGUUUUACCCAUCUCAUGCCUGAUUGUGUGAGAUAGGUAGAGUGCAUAGUAUUUUAUUUUGUGCAUGAGGAAACUCACCAUUAGGAUUUUAUUGCCAUAAUUAAGGUCCCACAGUUAUCAGAUAAUGAAGCUGGGACUUGUAACCAGACUUACGGUAACAGUUUGUACACAAAGCUGGGUUCUGUCACCUAUUCUCAUCUCAUCAGUAAGCCAACCAAAAGAGCCAAAUUAAUAGUGAAAAACAGAAAAAAAAUUUAUUUAAUGUGACUACAUUGGGAAGAGGGACACAAGACCAAGUGGGACACUUCUCUCCUAUGGGUCCAUCCAUCUUCUAGGGCAGCGGUUCUCAGUCUUCCUCAUGUUGCGGCCCUUUAAUACAGUUCCUCAUGUUGUGGUAAAUCUCCCCUCCCCCCAAAAAAUUAUUUUCACUGCUACUUCAUAACUGUAGUUUGCUACUGUUAAAAAUUUAAUGUAAAUAUUUGGUAUACAUAUCUGUUAUGUGGCACCCCCCCACCCCCCGCAAAGGGGUCUCAAUCAAUAGGUUGAUAACCACUGUGGGUCUUGGUACUAGGGACAGUUUAAAUAGAAGGCAUGAAAUAUACACAAGUAAUAAAUAUGACCACCACCUUCUCAGUUCUGGUACCUCAUCCAAGUUGUACGUUUUUCCCCAAGUUUCUACUCUGGCUGCCUUUAAUGGGAAAAUUAUAAAUUCCUGAGGUCCACCCCCCCAAUAAUCGGAUAACCAAAGAGGCAGGCUGGUUAUAGGACUCUUUAGUACAGGCUUGUUUGUAGAGGAAUUUUAAUGUAGCAACAUGGUUGGGGCAAGGGAUCACAUCCAAAGACAUUCUAGGUCUACAUGAUCCAUCUGGAAUGUAGACACACCCUGGAUUACAAUAUGGUCUGGCUGGAAUAUAGACAUGCCUUUAGUAUAUACCUUUCUUCCAUAACAAUGAAGGUUUGUGGAAGGAAGCAGCCAUGUUUGAAAGUAGUGUCUAAUUGAAGGGCAGAUUUAUCAGAGAAAGAUUUGACAGAUUAAGUCAGAAAUAGGAUUCACCCUACUCACAGAACCAUUUAACACAUGAAAUAUAGGCUACUUAAGAUAAGAGCAGUGAGAGGAAAUAGAUGGGUGUAAGGCAGUUGAGGUGGGACAGUUUUACAGAGACAUGUGGAGACAGAAUGAGCCAGAAGAUUAGAACAUAUUGCCAAAGUUAGUAUGAGGCCAAGCAGAGCAAUUAAAGCAGAAGCUGAGAGAAGCCGGAUUGAGUCAGUAAGCUAGAAUCUUUCAGGCCUCUGCCUAGGGAUACUUAGAGAAGAAAAUGCUCUGGGCUCAGCCCUAGCCAUGAGUACAGCUCUCAUCCCAUCCUUUCAGUUUAGGAAAUAAAAGGUGACAUUUGCAUUUAUGCUUAUUAGUACUUAGUUUGCUUUUUCAAAUUGGAGUUUUAAAAUCUUUAUUUGGUGCUAGCAAGAUAGCUUAGUGGGUAAAAGUAUCUCACCUUUAAUUUCUGAUUUCCAUCAUCUACCUGGUAGGAGAGAACUGACUUCUACAAGUUGUCCUCCGACUCCUCCCCAACACGAACAUGCACAUAUACAAAAUCAAUUUUUUAAAAAAAGGUUAUUAGUGUUAAUCCUACAGAUGUGAGGAGGAAGACCACCUACCCAAAUCAUGCCAAACAAAGUAAACUUUUUCUUCUCCUAUACAGGCUGUCUUUUCCCUAAAGCUGUGAUUCAAGAGAUUAACCUUGGAUAUGGAGAAGAUAAAGGUUUUUAUAGUUCAAUAGUAGGGUUUUCAGAUGGGGGAUUUUGCAGGCAAGUAGAAUAGAAGCAUUUGUUCACAACUUUUUUAAACAGUUAAGGCAUGGCUGUAAGGUAAUCAUAAAAACCUUCUGAAAUAAAGGCACAGUUUCUAUUUCCUAGAACAAGCAGUACAGAAUCAUUUGUAGUUAAAGUUAUAUAUAGGUGGGCAUAAUUUUUGAGCAACAGAUUUAAUCAUAAACAGGAAUUGCUUUCACCCUAAGAUGGAGGCAGGCUGGUUUAGCAAAAGGAACACCUUUUUUUUUUUUUUUUUCUUUUUUUACUUUUUAAAGUAAGCUUUUAAUGAAUCAUUAGUUUCAUCAAAGUUUUCUUUUUUCAGAAUUUUGAAAAUUAAUGCUUAGCACCAAAGCAAAGCAUAAUUGGAUAUACCAUUAAGUAUAUGUGAUCUGCAUGUAUUUUUUUUUAAUAUUGUCCUAUACCAGGAUAAAUGGCUUUAUUUUUGUUAAGGUGUCAAAUUCGUUCAAGUAUUUCUGAGCAAAUUUCUUUACUACUAGAAAGCAAGUUUAUUCACUACAUUUAUAAAUUUAGUAUAAGCCAAUCUUAAAAGCCAAUACAAAAUUUGGAAGUAAUAUUAAUACAAUGAUGAUAUUAUGUUAUACUACACCUUUAUUCUUAAUAUCUUACUUACAUUGGUAUGAGUUAAUGUGUUGUCUCCUGUCUUACCUCUGCUAUCAUUGAACUCGAGAUAAAAUAUAAUGUCUUUAGUUGUGAUCUCAUACUUUUCUUGAUCUUGAUGAUCUUAGCUUUGUGUACUAGACAAUUAUUUUGUGGUACAUCCUUCUAUUUGAUAUCCUCAGUGAUUUUUCUUCUUCCCUUUCUCUCUUCUCCCAGGCUAUCUUGAAUUUUUUAAUUCUCCUGACCUUGGUGUACUAGGGUUACAAGAAUGCCUCAACCUUAUAAGUUGCCUUUUGAUUUUUCCUUUGUUCUCCAGUACCCACCCCCACACCCCCAAAGUGUGUUAGGUGAUCAAAUGUCUGGAUUUCCCAAAUAUUACUUAUCAGAUCACUUUUUUAUAUUGUGAGUUGAAAAAUGUUCCACACUGCUUUAUGAUCUAUAUAAUGUUCUUUGUUAGUUAAACUUGAAAAUUAUGCUUUGUGCAGCCAUGUCUAUGAGUUCAAAUUCACUCUGUUUCUGAAAUCAUCACUAACCUACUUGUAUACCUACUCAUAUUAAUCAUUGAAGAGAGGGCUGCUGAAGUCUUUAAUUGUGGUUUUCUUUUCUUCUUUCAGCCUUUUUAAAAAAAUGCAUUUUAAAGCUUCUUUAUCAAGUGGAUAAAUGUUUAGAAUGGUUACAGUUGCUUGAUGAAUUAGUCCCUUUUUUAAAUUAUAAAAUUACCCCCUUUUUCUCCGGUUAUAUCUUUCCCUCUCAACUGCCCUUUCAAGCCCCACCCACCCCAGAUUGAUACUAGGCUUCAAAUCCAGAAGUGCAUGGUAGGUAGGUACUCUGGCAGCUGUUUUGAUCGCAUCAAAUAAAUGGUUCUUAGAGAUUAGGUUUUAGAAGGGAAGAUUGAGUUUGUUGGUAAGCUACCUUUAUUUUAAUACAGCUUUUGUUUUCAUUUGACUAAUAGUAUCAUGGCUAAUCUUUUUUUAUUUUUUUACUUUAAUCUAUUUAUGUCUACAUUUACUUUUAGGUUGCUAACUUAUGUGGGGUUUUAUUUUUCUUUUUAAUUCAAAUUUAUAAACCCUGCUUUAAAAAUAGACCCUGGAAACAUAAAGAACAAAAUAAAACCAAACCAAAACAAAGGAAAGCAAAACAAACAAACAAAAAAACCUCAGACAAAUUUGAUGUAUGAUCUUUGUACACAAGGUUGGUGGUAUUGAUCUCAGGGUACUCUUUCUACCUCAGCCUUCCUGUUACUGGGAUUACAAGUGUGAGCCACUAGACCCAACCCUAACCUUUUAUUUUGAAAUAAUUGGAAGCCCAUAGGAAGUCGCAGAGAAAUACAUAGUGAGAUACUGUGGACCUUAACAGUUACCUUUUAACUUUUGGUUAUUACAAGGAAACUACCCUGAGCAUUUACAUUAAAUUUAUGUUUGAAACUUUUCUUUUUCUUAGCAUAAAUAUGUAAAAGUGUAAUGAUUGUGACUUCAAUUUACAUUUCUCCUAUAGUGAAAGAAAUGAACAUUUUUAUGUGCUUACUUGACAUUUGUAUGUCUUCCAUAAGUUGUCCUGUUUAUUUUCUUUCUUUAUAUAUUCUAUAUAUGAAUCUGCUGCUACUAAUAGACCAGCAGCCUAUUAGGGUGUGUGUAGACAGAAGUUGAAUGGACUGCUGUUGCUGUAUACCAAAUAAUACAUCACUGUGAUAGUUGUUGAUCUAGGCACCUUGAGUGACUAGGAACUUUUUAAAUGCUCCUGAGGAUGUAUUGGCCUUGUGAUUUUCUUCCCUUCUCUUUAUGCCUGUUUGAUUCUGAGGAGAGGCAUUUUAUUACCUGCUCACAGUAUAUGAUCAGUGUAUGCAUUGUAUAAAAAGAAAAGUCAAGUAAGUGUUGUCUUUCCUAGUGUCUUCGAGUCCCUAGAUAGUAAUUCUCCUUUAUAGCUUCAGCGUUCCUUUGCCCUUGGCUUUAGAAUAGUUUCCCUAAUAUUUAUAUAUGGAGGAUAGUAGCAGGGAAAAGUUGUUAUAUGUUAACGUGUUUUGAGAUUAGAACCAAAUUUCUGUCUUUUAAGUAAAAGAAAUUAGUGAGGGCUAGGGAUGUGUAGCUCAAUUGACAGGGUCCUUUCGUAGUGUGUACAAGGCUCUAAGUUUGAUUUUUUUUUUUUUUAAGAUCUCUCAUGAACCAGAUAUAGUACUAUAUAUGUUUUGUAAUUCCAACACUUGGGUGGGGGUGGGGUGUCAGGAGUUUUAGGUUAUUAUCUUUGUUAACUUUUCUGUUGCUGUGAUAAUAUCCUGACAAAAGCAACUUAAGAAAGGAAGGGGUUAUUUUUGCUCAUUGUUGGAGUCUAUUAUGGGGGGAAAUGAAAACAGCAGGAACUUGAAUCAGUUCGUCACUUUGCUUUUAGGCAGGGUGAAGAAAGCAGUAAAUGCUUGUGCUUAGGCUUACUUUGGGCAGGUCUUUCCACCCUAGUUAGCCUCAUUCCCUUAGGCAUGCCCAGAGGCCUAUCAUAGGUAAUUAAUAGGUAUCAAAUUGACAUUUGAGAGAUUACCAGCACAGUCUCUGGCUACAGAGUCAGUUUGAGGCUAGCCUGAGCUCCUCUUUUUCCUUCCCUAAAGAGCAGUUAUUGAUAAUAGAUUUGAACUUACAACUUUACUUGCUUUUUGUUUUUUACUUGCUUCUAUUGAGUUUUUGGUUGUCUUUGUGUGUUUUUAAAGUUAUUGGAUAAAUAAGUUUUUCUUGUUACCUUAUUUUAGCUGUCCGUGUUCUGAGUAUUUCAGAGGUUUUACAUCUUUGCUCCAGAUGAUAAGAAACUUAGUAAAAUAUACUUCUGUUUAAUGCGUCUUGAUUUUAUUUUUUUUUUUUUUGUAAUUGCAGUUCAUUUUACUACUAUACUAUUGGUCUCAUAAAGCAUUGGUACUAUUCUUUUUGUUUAAUAGUUAAUUAAGAAAUUUUGUGUGUUAGUAUGUUCAUUUGGGUAGUCAAAGAGGCUAGAAAGGGGUAUUGGGUCUCCUGGAGCUGGACUUAGAACUGGCUGUGUUGUGAUCUGAGAGUGUGGUGUUGGGAACUGGGCUUUGGUCUUUGGCAAGAACAUUUAUGUUUAACCACUGAGCUUUCUUCCAGGCUCCCCAGCUAACUUUUAAGGAAUUUCAGUUAAUGUAUAAGUAUAAUAUUUACAUAUUUACUGUACUUUCUUUGUUUUUCUAUUGUAUAGAUCUCAAUUUCCAUCUUGUAUUAUCUUCUUUCUGCCUGAAAGACUUUUGUUUCUUGUGAAGUUUUCUUAGUAGGUAAUGAUUUUUUUCAGCUUUUGUGGUAAAACUUUAUUUUUCUUUCUUAAAAGAUUUUGGCUUGGUAUACAAUUAUUGAAUUGUUUUGCCCUAGUCCCAGGGACACAAAAGACCACUGAGGAGUCAAUACUGAUGUAAACAUAUAGGGUCUUUAUUAUGAGCUGGCAAGCAAGAUCUCUCACAGUCUCAGUCCCAGUCCCAGCAAGUUAGAGGGUUUUUGUUGUGGUUACAACAAGUUUGGGGAAUUUCCAUAUGGGUCAGCAAGUUAAUAUUUUAAAAACUGCAUUUCUGGCGUAAUCUUCAGGAACCGAAUCUUUUGUAGGGGCAAAAGCACCUGACUACUAAGAUGGCUAAGUUACCUACUCUCUGCAGGAUGUUUUAGGUUAUCUCUAUGUACCUUGACCCUGCUUUUGUAGCCUGGCUGUUGUUGGGGGUUGGGGGUGUUGUCAUAGGAUGUUUGCUCAGGUGGACUUUGUGAUUUUCUUCCUGGAAUUGGAGUUUAGCCCCUGCUCUCACGCAAAAUGGAGUUUCUUAAAAAUAAGGAGUUGGUUGGACUUUAACAGACUGACUUCUUCCCCCUGCAACACUCUGGAGGUUUUAGCUCAGGUUUAGUGCUUUAACUAUUUUUGUAAGUGAAAUUUGCUUUUUUUUCCCAUCCAUAAGUAAGCCGUCUUUGUCUACUUGUUAGGUUUUUCCUCAUUGCUAGGUCUGUUUUACCCUAGGGUUAUGUUAUAACUUGUAGGAUUUUUGUUUUUUUCAGAAUAUAUUUUUAAUAUUUCUUAAUUGAUAUCUGUUGCUCCUUGAUCUAUAACUUUCAUCCGGUUUGAAAUCUCUGCUUUUGUGUCUUCAGAAUUUUUCCUUACAUCUUGCAUUCUAAUCACACAUAUAUCACAUUGUUUGAAGGCUUUUCUUUACUUACUGAUGUGCUGUGUGUGUUGUGUAUGUGUUGUGCAUGCAUGUGAGUGUACAAGUAUGUCUACCUGCUCCCAGAGUUCAAUUUCAGGUGUCUUCCAGUAUUCCCAUCUGUGAAGUUAGGAGGUCUUUUACUGAACGGGAAGCAUGACAGUCCUGUCUGAAUCUACUUUCUCUCCUCCUCAAUAUUAGGGCCCUGUAGUCAUGUUUGGCUUUUUAGAUGGAUAUUGAUUAUGAUGGAUAAGUCAUCACGCUUGUGCUCUUAUUCAAUCAGCAAUCCCUCUACUCCCUUCUUAACCUCCUACCCACUUCUGUUCUUUUUAAAAGAUGUUUCUCCUUGCUGGAUCUCAUUUUGUAUUCUUGUGUUUUCAAGUUUACUGAAUUUGUUCUUUGAUAAUGUUCAUUCUCCCCUUAUUAUUACCCACUGUAUUUUUUGUCUUGUAAUUUUCAGUUGUGUUUCAAAAAAUCAGAACAAAACAUAUGGUCUUUCCUUAACAUGUUUAUGCUUUGCUCUAGGUUUUCAACCUUAUAUUUCCUUGAUACAUAAUUUUGAUUUUUCUGUUGACUAUAGUUGUAGUUUCUUACAUGCCUGAUCAGUAAGGAUAAUGUGAAUUUUACCUUUGUAGCUUCUGAAUAUGUAUUGUUUUGUACAGUGUCAGACAAAGCAAAGCAGUGUUUAGUCUUACCUCAACACGUAGAGCAGUAUUCUUUUGAAAAUUUCUUUGGGAUGCUGCUUAAUAACCCUCCCCCCAACACCCAUACAUCUACAUACUUUUAACAUGAAAUAGCAACUGUUGUUUCUUACUGUUUAAGCCACAUGCAUUUUUUCCCCACUAUGUUUCAGAUGUUCCUAAUGCAAUUCAGUCCCCCAACUCAGCUCAUACCCAUUGUUUGUCAUUUGGUAAUUUAAGGUAAAAUGUAUGAAGAUAACCUAUCUAAAUGUUCUGAUUGUAUCAGUCUCAUCCCACUAUUUACUUUCUAUAUACUCAGCUCUUGGCCUAUCCACAUUUCUAGCUCCUUUUUCAGUCAGGUAAGUUAACAUUUUGACUGCAUUCCUCUACUUUACCAUUGGAAGCUUCUAAAUGUGUGCGCAUUCCUUUACUAUCCUUAAUUAGCCACUACAUUGGCUUUGUAUCAGAUUAGAUUAGUUUGCAUUUUCUAAAGUUCUGAUUUUGUGGAAUCAUGUAUAUAUUCAUUUGUCAUUGUUUCUUUCUCAUAAUUAAUCUUUGAGAUUCACCCAUAUUGUCCUGUGUAUCAAUGUAUACUCACCUUUACUUAUGAGAAGUUAUUGAGCAUAUGAAUAUAUUACAAUUUGGUACUCAUUUAUCUUUUAAUUUGUGAGUUGUUCUUACGUUUAAAACCUCUAUGAGCAUACUUUGAUAGUCUUUAUAUGGGAAUAUAUUUCCUUUUUUUGGGCAAAUACUUAUGAGUAGAAUUAAUAGAUUAUAUAUAGUAAACUGCAAAAAGACUUUCAAAGUGAAUGCAUGUGAAUGCAUUUCUACCAGCAAUAUAUGAGUGGUCCAAUACUUCCAUAUUCUUCUGAAUGUUUAGAAUAGUUACUCUUAAUUUUAAGCAUUUUAGUAUAUGCAUAGUAGUAUGCCAUCUUUAUGUUGUUUUCAGUUCACAUUUGAAUAAUGAUAACAAAUGUUUUGUCUUUUCUUUGGUUGGUACUAGUUCACAUUAUUGGUCUAUUUUAUUUGCAAAAAUAUUUUCUUUUUCUAAAAUGGGGUCCCAAUUUGUAGCCCUCUUUAUAUAGACCUGGCAGGCAUCAAACUCACAGAGAUCUGCCUGCUUCUCCCUCUGCCUCCCUCAAAAUUGGGUUUUCACAUUAUUUUGUUUUGAGAGCUCUUUCCAUAGUUUGUGUAUAAGCACUGUAUCAAAUACAUGUUCUUCAGUUUGUGAUGCUUCUCUUCAUUCUCUUUUAACAGUAGUGUCUGAAGAAUAGAAAAAAUGUUCUUAUAAAGUUUCAUAUAUCAUUUUGUUCUUCCAUACAAUUAUGCUUUAAUCUUGUAACAGUAUUAGUUUUUGUUUGGAUUACCUCUCUCCCCUUUCAUGUUAAAAAAUUUGUGUGUGCAUACACACACAUUCACAUGUGCCAUGCACAACAACACUGUGAAGGUCAGAGGACAACGUAUAUAUAAGAGUCAGUUUUCCCCUUUAAAUAUAUAUGUGUGUCCUGGGGAUUAAAUUUAGGCUGUGAGACUUGGUGGUUGUAUCUACACUGCUACCUACAGAGACAUCUUGCCAGCUCUAUGUUCAAAUUUCUGUUUUUAUAAGUUUGAAAUUUCAUUUCUAAGAUCAAAGCAGAUUAGAAGUACUUUUUCUCAAGUAAAAUAGGCAGUGGAAUUCUCAACAUAAACUCAAGGCUUUGCUGUAUGUUUAGGGUUUCUAUUGCUGGUUAAAAUACUGAUCUAAAACAAUGUGGGGAGGAAAGAGUCUAAGCAGCUCAUAGAAGGAACAUCAUCUAGGGAAAUAAGAGCAACAGGAACUCAAGCCAGGAACCUGGAAGCAAGAACUGGUUCGGAAGUUAUGCAGAACUGCUGCUUACUGGAUUGCUGCUCAUGGCUGGUUCAGCCUGAUUUCAUAUAUCAUCUAAGAUCACCUACUUGCCCAGUGACCUGGACACAUCAGUUAUAAAGAAAAUGUCCCAUAGGCCAUUGUGGAAAGGGGGUCAGGAUUUUCUCAGUUGAGGUUGCCUUUUCCCAAAUGAUUUUUAGCUUGGGUCAAGUUGACAUAAAACUAGCCCAGCACACCAUAGGAAUUCUGUUUAUACUUUUAGUAGAAACUCUGGCUUUUUAUUCAUUCAAUAAAUCUUGAGUUAUUCUCUGAAAAUUCAUUCUAAUUAUUCAUUCUAAUUCAAGAGGUAUGGUGAAGGAAUGUGGCUUUUAGCAUUUUGUAUCUUAAAAUUUAUUCUUUUUUGAAUUAUGUAAAGUGGCUUUCAAAAGUAUGGAAUUGAGUUAGUUAUUGUUGUAAAAGAAUAUUAUUGUUGUCCCAUAAAGAAACACACAAAAUGAAAGUAACCUGGCAAGGCAAUUUCAUUUUGUAGAAGAAUGUGCCAUGUUCCAAGCUGAGUUAGCAGGAAUAGCAAGCAGGAAAUUCAAUAGGCUUUUAUCCUACUGCUGGGGUCUGCCCUCCCAGCCUUUUGUGUUUACCUAGGUUCCCCCCUCCACCCUAGACUCUUUCUUUUUUCUGGUGUACCCAUGCUAAUGCUAGAACUCCCAUCUGUAGACCAGAGUAGCCUUGAACUCAGAGAUUCCACCUGUCUCUGCUGAGAUUAAGGGUGUGAACCAUCUUUCAAAGAGCCUCCAGAGGAAGGCCCUAAAACAAGGAAUUAAUUAUUGCAUCUGUUUUAGUUAAGGUUUUAUUGCUGUGAAGAGACAUAGCCACAACAAUUCUUAUGAAGGAAUACAUUUAAUUGGAGCUGGCUUACAGUUUCAGCGACUUAUUAGUUUAUUAUCAUGCGGGAAGCAUGGCAGCAUGCAGGUAGACAUGGUGCUGGAGAAGGAAUUGAUCCAAAGGCAGCUGAAAGAGACUAUUUCACACUGCAUGUAACCUGAGCAUAGGAAACCUCAAAGCCUGCCCCCACAGUGACAUGCUUCUUUCAUCAAAGUUUGACCUAUUCCAACAAGGCUACACCUUCUAAUACUGUCACUACUAUGGGCCAAGCAUUUAAAUACAUGAGUCUAUGGGAGCCAUUCCUAUUCAAACCAUCAUAGCAACCAACCCUCUAGCAAGGCUUAAGGGGAACCUGCCUCCUUAAGGGUAAUUAAUCCUUUUGGGGCAGUCUAUUGCCUGCCUAGCUGGAAUUCAGUAAGCUUAUCCAAAAGACUCUUAAACUCUGGUAUUUCCAUUUGUAUGAUAGCCAGGUGUGAGGAGGAAAGAGAGCCCUUGGUUGGUGCUUGUAAAGAGAUGUGAGGGAGAAAUAAAGACAAGUGCUAGGCAGGGUGCCCUGAGAAGCCAGAACUGAAGAAAGUUUUUUAAUUUCUAAAUUAAAGUCCAUUAGAAUCUCCUGAUGGAAUGACAUGAGCAUCUAUUUAUUUUGGCUCCUUGUUUUGCCUUUGGCUGCCAAGGCUGGUCUCUCGAGUGAUGAACCUGUGAUCUGCUUUUAUGCAUUUUGGAAACUGUUGGAAUGGCUAGAAAAUAAACAUUAGGUCACUUCCAGAUGACUUCUAGAUAGGGAGAGAAUAUAAAUUUAGCCAUCAUUUAAGUUUUAGGUUACAGAGGUGGUGGAGGGGUCUCCGUUGGCUGUGGGUUGGUGUUUUAGUGAGCCAGUAUCUAAAUUAUAUCUGGGUAUCAUUUUUAAAAGAAAAAUGGAGAUGAGUCAGUCAUUAAGAGCACUUGCUGCUCUUCUAGAAGACCCAGGUUUAAUUUCCAGCACUCAAAUGGUAGCUCACAAUUGGCUGGACCUUUAGUCCCAGGGACAGCAGGCAUGCAGUCAAAACACCCAUACACAUAAUAAUAAUAGUAGUAGUAGUAGUAGAGCUGGAAUAAGCAAGCUUCCCAAAUUCUGCACUAUUUUGUUAUGUGUCCCCUACUGAAAUUAUAGUUGUCUCUGCCCAAUGCCUACAUGUAAAAGGUUUCCUUUGUUUUUUGCUAGUCAUGGUAGGUGUAUUUAGGUCCUUGUGCCUAUAUAAGCACUGUAGCUUUGUACUUCAGAAUAGCCUUGAACUCAUUUAUGUAGUCCAAGCUAGCUUUGAACCUCCCAUUCUCUUUGCAUUACUCUGUCUUGCCACCCUGAGUGUUGGGAUUUUAAGUGUGAACCACUAUGUCUGACUUCAAUACUAAAAGUUAUUUUGCCUGUCUUUCUGAGUUCAACUUCUCUCUAGCCCACUUUGCUAUAACUUCAAAAAGUACUGAUUUAUUAAUUCACUUAUCUCUUUCUAUUGCAUCCCCCUUCUGUGUGUCCUGUGUAUGUGUCUCUGUUUUGCACCCACUUUGUGCUUAUUGUUUGCAAGUGUCAGAAGAGGGCAGUAGAUACUCUGGAACAGAAUUUGCGGAUGAUCCUGAGCCACCAUGUGGGUGCUGUGAACCAAACCCAGGUAUUCUUGAAGCAGAGAAAGCACUCUUAAGUAAUGAACUAUCUCUGCAGCUUCAACAGAUUUCUCUGUAUGUAUAUUUUAGAAUUUCAAAUUAAAUUCAUCUAACUGAAAGAACAUAAGAAAAGCUUUGUUUGAGCAUCUUUCUCUACCUUCAGGUAUUAAUCUAUUUGCUGUUGUUGUUGUUGCUGCUAAAACAAAGUAUUCAAUGUUGAGUACCUAAAAGAAAAGUUUAUUGAUAUUUAAAGGCAGAGUGCCUAGUAUGGUGAAGAUUUCAUGGUAGAUAGUCAAAGCCUUGCCAUGCUUCUCUUUUCUUUUAUUUCAUUUUUUUCAUAAAGCAGACAGACGGUUACUUAUUGAGAUCUCCUCCCUGUUUUUCUUUCUGCAGAGAGGAUCUCUUUACUCUCUUUCCUUCAAUUGGCCUGUUUGCUUAUUAUAUGUGUGGGUUGGGGGUUUGGGGGAACGUGCUUAUGCCACACAGCUCUGUGUGGUCAGAGAACAACUUGAGCUAAUCAUCAGUGAACUUCCACCAUGUUAGUCCCAAGGAUUGAUUUUAUGUUGCCAGAUUUGGCAGCAAGUGCUGUUACCCUCUUGUCAUCUUGCUCUGUUUUUUUUUUUCUUUGUUUCUUUCUUUUUCUUUUUCUUUUUCUUUUCUUUUCUUUUUUUUUUUUUUUUUUUUUGAGGCAGGGUGUCAUGUAGCUACUGCUGGCCCCAAACUCUAAGGUAGCUGAGAACUGGAACCAGAGAUAUGAACUAUAUAACACAUGAUGUUAUUUUAUUUGUGUGUGUGUGUGUGUGUGUGUGUGUGUGUGUGUGUGUGUGUGUGUGUGUGUGUAUCAUCUGCUUGUGGAAUCUAGAGGUUCAGGAACAUUAGGGAAAGCAUCCUACCAACUAGGCUAUAUCCCCACCCUCUAUCUUUGGCAUCAUCUUGAAUACCUGGCUAAUACCAACAAGGCAGUAUCUCAGGUGGUUUUUUUUUUUUUUUUUCCACUUAAAUUUUGGUGUUUGUUUUGGUUUUGACACAGCUUCACCCUGUAGUCCCAACCAUUCUGGAAUUUAUAACAUUCCUUGUCCUAUCUCCCAAGUAUUGAGAUUAUAGGUUUGAGCCACCAUGCCCUGUCCCUCUACUUAGCUCUUAAGAGAAUUCUCAGAAACUAUCAGGCUACAUUGAAUGAAACUCUAUUGUAGGGACAUCAUUACCACCUGUUUGCCUUUUCCUCCACUCUCAGCUAGAGUCUAGUAGAAUUACUGAAGUUUCUGCUGUGUAGGUGAUUCCAGCCAAGGAAGUAACACAAAAAUAAAAGUAGAGUCCAUCUUUUCUUUCUGUUUUAUUAGGCAGAAGUUUAUCAGGCUACACUUUUGAGAGUUUUGCAGCUAUGUAUUUAUGUAAACAUGGGUCUAAUGAAAUUGAGUUCAAAUUGUAAAAGAAGAGAGACUAUCUGGGAUACCGACAAUUGGAAGCAAUUUACAAAACAGUGUUUAUAUAAAUGUGUAAGGUGGGAAAGAUAUGUCCUCACAUUUGCAAAAUAGCUUGAAUAUGACAUUUAAAACAUGUGUUGCUUCUGUAUAAAACAAUUAACUGGCAUGCCGAAGUCAGGAGGGGGAAACACUCUUUGCUGUAAGAGAUUCUUUUGUUUAUUUCAUUGGGAUAAGGUCUUACUAUGUAGCCUAAGCUGGCCAUGAAAUUGUAGCAGUUCACUUCAGCUUCUUGAGUAUUGAUAUUAUAGAAUCAGGCCAGCUGUGACUCCAAGCAUUUUUUGAUGGCCUGUAGUAAGUAUUAAAACUGUAUUGAAAGUUUUUUGAGAAAGUGUGAUUCUUUAAAAUGAUGAUUAUUCCGUACAUUUUCACAUUACAGUUUUCUCAUACAAUUCUUAAAAGAUUUAUACAUAGAUUCAUAGAAGCCUAAGGAAUCUUUAAAAAUUUAGUGUAUCUUACCCAAAGUAAGAGUCUCAAUCAAGUAGUUUAGUGUUUUUUUCCCCCCCCUACUUCCCACCCAACUUUGAGACCCACCCACCCCUACCCCCUUUUCCCCUUUGAGUCCAGUUUGUGUUGCCAGCUAGUUUUGGGAUUGAGGCCUGCUCUGGUGUGUGGGCCAGUCUGCAGUGAGUCACAUCAUUAAAACAAAACAAAACAAAACACCCGACUUUCCUUCUUUCAGCAGUCAUGAAAUGCUAAUAGUGCCUUCACUAGUGGUGGGAUUUCAUAACUUCUGUCUUCUAGUCUGAGAUUUUGUUUGGCUGGAGUUUGUACAGGUCUUGUAUCUGGUGUCACAUCACUAUGAGUGCGUAUACAUACCUGCUCCAUUAUGUCUGGAAAACACUGUUUCCAUGAAGUUUUUCAUCACUGCUGGCUCUUACAAUUUUUCUGUCCUCCGUUCUGCAAAAAUCUCUGAACCUUGUGGUGAGAUAACCACAGUCUGAUUUGGGACUGAACAUUCUAUAGACUUUUAUUCUGCACAUUGGGGUCACCCGUGUUGCCUGUCAAGGAGAAGUUUCUUUGUUGAGGGUUUAGAGAUAUACUGGUCUCCGGAUAUAGCAAACAGUCAUUAGAAAUUGUUCUAAUACUACGUCUAUUUAGCAAAAUAAUAGUAUUGGGUCUCCCCUGGGGCAUUUGACCUAUCUAGCCACAGGUUCGUGGCCCCUUAAGUGCAAAGUGUGGGUUCCAUUUAUAUUGUUCCUUGUACUUGUAUGUUAUCCAGCCGCUUCACUUAAUCCUUUAAAUUAAAUAAUGUUGUUUAUAUGAUGCUUAUAUGCUUCUAAAGUAUUUACUUUCAUGUUAGGUACUGAACAUAAAAGAUUUAUAUAUAAUGCUUAUGUAUGUAUUUUUUCUAUAAUAGGAGUGGAACAUAAGGCCUUGUAUAUGUUAGCCAAGUACUCUACCAAUCACUAAGCUGUAACUCCCAGCCUAGUAUGCCAUAUUAAAAGUAAUUAGACUGACUGACUCAGAAGUCAAGAGCACUUGUUCUUGUACCACUCUCUCUCACUCUCUAUCUCUCUCUCACACCCUCUCACUCUCCCUCCUUCCCUCUCCCUCUCCUUCCCUCCCUCUCCCUCUCUCUCCCUCUCUGUCACACACACACACACACACACACACACACACACACACACACGCGCGCGCGCGCCCUCGCGUGUACGCAGGCAUAAAAACCACAAUGAGAAAAACUAAAAAUACAAAACGAUUUCAGUAAAAGCUUUAUUUACAAUACUAUUAUUAGCUUUAAAAACAUUUAAUAUGAAAUUAGGAUUUCCACAUUGUAGUCAGUAAUCAAUUUCUCUUAACCUGCACUAAAUUGUAUUUUAUACUCAAACAGUCCAUCAUAUAGAGGUAUAUAAGGAGACUCUGGAAAUUUGCACCUUUAAAUUAUAGUAAUUCCCAAGACUUCACUAUAGAAUUCAGAUCCUUUUAAUUAUAGAGAUGUAGAUUGGUUAGUAGUUCUCAGUGCUUGUGAUUUGGUACAUACACAUUUAGCUGGCAAAGGGUAUAAUAAGAACUAAAGACUUUUUUUUUUUUUUUUUUUUUUUUUUUUUUGGUAGCUCUUAAGCUUUAAAUAUAGUAGGAUCAACCUGGAAUUACCUUGUUUUGGAUCGGUUCUUCAGACAUGUUGAUAGGUAAAUUUGGUUGGGAUAGUAAAUUUUAGCAUACAUUUUUAAACUGUUUGAUUCUCUACACUUCAAGGCUCUGUGUCAUAAGGAAAAAUUAAGGCCUUCUAAGUAGUCAUUACAGGAAAUUUGUAUGAAAAUAGUGAAAUGAUAUUUUUUAAUGGUAUGGAAACUGUUUGAGUUUCUUUCUUUGUAUGUGCUAAACCUGAGAGAUACUUAGAGAUUUGAGAUUCUACUAGGAUGCCUUACAACAGCAACAAUAUGGACUAUUUAAGGAAAAUUUAACAUUAUCAAAAAGACUGUAAUGGUUAGAGCUUUGUUGUUAUUUAAAAAGGGAAGAAACAAGUGCAUCUAUUCUAUGCCAAAUUCUGUGUGUAAACUGCUAUAGAAAUUUUUUUCUUCCUUCCUUUUCCCUGUCUUCCUGUCUGUCUUUGUGUGUGUACAUGCUUGUGUAUGAGAGAACUUAUGUGCAACUGCAGAGGUCAUAGGACGGUCUGACUUUCUUAUAUGGAUUCUGGAGAUCUUAACUCAGGUUGUCAGGCUCAUGCUAUAAGCACUUACUGAUUUAUCUCAGGGUCCAGUUUUGACAUCUUUAUCAUUUUGUCAGGUCUCUUAAAAUUGAGGUAAGAAAAGUUCCCCAAGAUCUGUAGUGUUAAACAACUGGAGUAUGUUAUCAAACUCAGAUCUAUCAUUUGUUUUCUGUAGAGUUCAAAUGAAUUAACAGUCUUUUUGUUUUCCGAGAAAGGAAAUGUGAGAGUAAAGGUAUAUAAAUAUUUUGGAAGUGUAAGAUAGAAUUAAUGUGUUUGACUUACUUCAUAAUAAGGAAAAGCCAAUUAAAAGGUGUUUUAAAUCUGGUAAAGAUUUUGGCUAAAGCAAAACAUUGAAUAUAAAAUGGUAGCUGUUCUUACUACAGAGAUUGUAUGAAUUCUCACAUAAUUGUAUUAAGUUCUCCAUGUUUGUAGGAAAAAUGGAUAAUACUUGAUUUGAAAAUAGGUUUGUUUGUAUGAGCAGAGAUUACGAUAAUAGUUUAGAUUUGUAAUUUAUGGAUAGAAUUGUCAUUUGUUAAAGUGCUCCUUUAUUUCAUUUGUCAACUAUUGUUACAGUUUUGUAAUGGGAAAGACAUUUAUGCCCUAAUUAGUGGAAUCGCUGAUAAAUACUUAAAGAAGCUAUUUCUUUUAAAGAAUGGUAUUAUAUUGAGAUACAAGAAAAAAUACAUUGAUUUCUUGGAGUAUAGAUAUAUACAUUAUCUUAUGGAAGAAUGUAUUUUUAGGAUUGUUAUCUAUGUCUUAAACAUUUGUGUUUUUCCCCCCUUAG